GAUCAUGGCUCAGGAUGAACGCUGGCGGCGCGCCUAACACAUGCAAGUCGAACGGCACCCACCCUCGGGUGGAAGCGAGUGGCGAACGGCUGAGUAACACGUGGAGAACCUGCCCCCCUCCCCCGGGAUAGCCGCCCGAAAGGACGGGUAAUACCGGAUACCCCGGGGUGCCGCAUGGCACCCCGGCUAAAGCCCCGACGGUAGGGGAUGGCUCCGCGGCCCAUCAGGUAGACGGCGGGGUGACGGCCCACCGUGCCGACAACGGGUAGCCGGGUUGAG
rnacentral:rRNA from 1 species